UGGGGAAUAUUGGACAAUGGGCGAAAGCCUGAUCCAGCCAUGCCGCCUGUGUGAAGAAGGUCUUCGGAUUGUAAAGCACUUUAAGUUGGGAGGAAGGGCAUUAACCUAAUACGUUAGUGUUUUGACGUUACCGACAGAAUAAGCACCGGCUAACUCUGUGCCAGCAGCCGCGGUAAUACAGAGGGUGCAAGCGUUAAUCGGAAUUACUGGGCGUAAAGCGCGCGUAGGUGGUUUGUUAAGUUGGAUGUGAAAUCCCCGGGCUCAACCUGGGAACUGCAUUCAAAACUGACUGACUAGAGUAUGGUAGAGGGUGGUGGAAUUUCCUGUGUAGCGGUGAAAUGCGUAGAUAUAGGAAGGAACACCAGUGGCGAAGGCGACCACCUGGACUAAUACUGACACUGAGGUGCGAAAGCGUGGGGAGCAAACA
rnacentral:rRNA from 1 species